GUUGUAUGGUUAAGUGACUAAGCGUACACGGUGGAUGCCUUGGCAGUCAGAGGCGAUGAAAGACGUAAUAACUUGCGAUAAGCCCAGAUUAGGUAGUAAUAACCAUUUGAGUCUGGGAUUUCUGAAUGGGGAAACCCACGUGCAUAAGCACGUAUCAUUAACUGAAUACAUAGGUUAAUGAGGCAAACCCGGGGAACUGAAACAUCUAAGUACCCGGAGGAAGAGAAAUCAACCGAGAUUCCGAAAGUAGCGGCGAGCGAAAUUGGAUUAGCCCUUAAGCUUUUAAUGACACAGACGAAGGCUCUGGAAAGUGCCGCAAUAAAGGGUGAUAGCCCCGUAGUCGACAUGUUGUUUUAAGUGAAAUCGAGUAAGGCGGGACACGUGAUAUCCUGUUUGAACAUGGGGGGACCAUCCUCCAAGGCUAAAUACUACUGACUGACCGAUAGUGAACCAGUACCGUGAGGGAAAGGCGAAAAGAACCCCUGUGAGGGGAGUGAAAUAGAACCUGAAACCGUGUACGUACAAGCAGUAGGAGCGCCUUAGAGCGUGACUGCGUACCUUUUGUAUAAUGGGUCAGCGACUUAAUUUUAGUAGCAAGGUUAACCGAAUAGGGGAGCCGUAGGGAAACCGAGUCUUAACUGGGCGUCGAGUUGCUAGAAUUAGACCCGAAACCAGGUGAUCUAGCCAUGGGCAGGUUGAAGGUUGAGUAACAUCAACUGGAGGACCGAACCGACUAAUGUUGAAAAAUUAGCGGAUGACUUGUGGCUAGGGGUGAAAGGCCAAUCAAACCUGGAGAUAGCUGGUUCUCCCCGAAAGCUAUUUAGGUAGCGCCUCGGACGAAUACCAAUGGGGGUAGAGCACUGUUAAGGCUAGGGGGUCAUCCCGACUUACCAACCCUUUGCAAACUCCGAAUACCAUUGAGUACUAUCCGGGAGACACACGGCGGGUGCUAACGUCCGUCGUGGAGAGGGAAACAACCCAGACCGCCAGCUAAGGUCCCAAAGUAUAGCUAAGUGGGAAACGAUGUGGGAAGGCUUAGACAGCCAGGAUGUUGGCUUAGAAGCAGCCAUCAUUUAAAGAAAGCGUAAUAGCUCACUGGUCGAGUCGGCCUGCGCGGAAGAUGUAACGGGGCUAAGCUAUACACCGAAGCUGCGGCUGCA
rnacentral:rRNA from 1 species